GUUUACGAGGCUCCAACGAGGCUCUGGGGUGGGGCAGGCAACCACCACUGCCACUUCUGACCCAUCAGCAUCUUCUGCUCCCUAGCCCACUGCACUAACUAACCCAUGCCCGAAGAAACAUUUACAGCUCUCAGAAUCUCAGUUUCAGAGGCAGGUGUUUAUAACCCUCCUCUCUAUCUAACUUCAAGGGCAGGUGGGUGUGUCCAGGAGAAGAGAGAGCUGGAAAAUUCUGCUGAUGAAAAUGUCAAGGUUGUUUGGAGGUUUAUCUUUUUCUAAGCUUGGGUCCCUCCAUGUCUUUCAUCUGCCGCAAGACAUGAUGCCGUCCAGUUCCUGGGCCUGGCCUUGCACAGUCAGUGAGAGGCGUCAGCAGAGGAGACUCUGGCUGUUCAGGACAAUAGGCCCUUUCUGGGCAGAGAAUGCAGCGCAGUGUUGUAUUAUUUGUGUGGUGAAGGCACACAACCACUCCCAUUCCACCAGCCACGUGAUAGUACUAACUGCUUAGAUGCCAGGGCGAUAAGAAGCAAAAAGCUGGAUUCCCCAACCUGAAAAGUUUCUCUGAAGGAAUCUUGAAUGACACCCC
rnacentral:lncRNA from 1 species